GUCUCUGUAGCGCAAUGGAUAGCGCAUUGUUUUUCUAAUCCAAAGGUCAUGGGUUCGAAUCCCAUCUGGGGUG